UACGUAGGGGGCAAGGCGUUGUCCGGAUUUAUUGGGCGUAAAGAGCGUGUAGGCGGCCAUGUAGGUCCGUUGUGAAAACUCGAGGCUCAACCUCGAGACGCCGAUGGAAACCAUGUGGCUAGAGUCCGGAAGAGGAGAGUGGAAUUCCUGGUGUAGCGGUGAAAUGCGCAGAUAUCAGGAAGAACACCCGUGGCUAAGGCGGCUCUCUAGUACGGUACUGACGCUGAGACGCGAAAGCGUGGGGAGCAAACAGG
rnacentral:rRNA from 1 species